GAUGAACGCUAGCGGGAGGCCUAACACAUGCAAGCCGAGCGGUAGAGUUUCUUCGGAAACUUGAGAGCGGCGCACGGGUGCGUAACACGUGUGCAACCUACCUUUAUCUGGGGGAUAGCCUUUCGAAAGGAAGAUUAAUACCCCAUAAUAUAAUGAUUGGCAUCAAUUAUUAUUGAAAACUCCGGUGGAUAGAGAUGGGCACGCGCAAGAUUAGAUAGUUGGUGAGGUAACGGCUCACCAAGUCAAUGAUCUUUAGGGGUCCUGAGAGGGAGAUCCCCCACACUGGUACUGAGACACGGACCAGACUCCUACGGGAGGCAGCAGUGAGGAAUAUUGGACAAUGGGUGAGAGCCUGAUCCAGCCAUCCCGCGUGAAGGAUGACGGUCCUAUGGAUUGUAAACUUCUUUUGUACAGGGAUAAACCUACCCUCGUGAGGGUAGCUGAAGGUACUGGACGAAUAAGCACCGGCUAACUCCGUG
rnacentral:rRNA from 1 species